GGCUCAGGCGAACGCUGGCGGCGUGCCUAAUGCAUGCAAGUCGCACGGAUGGCCUUCGGGUCAUUAGUGGCGGACGGCUGAGGAACACGUGGGAACCUGCCCAUCCGUGGGGGACAACAUGGCGAAAGUCGUGCUAAUCCCGCAUACGCUCACCGAGAAGGUGAGGAAAGCAGCAAUGCGCGGACGGAGGGGCCCGCGGCCCAUCAGGUAGUUGGCGGGGUAACGGCCCACCAAGCCUCUGACGGGUAGCUGGUCUGUGAGGACAGACAGCCAGACUGGGACUGAGAAACGGCCCAGACUCCUACGGGAGGCAGCAGCAAGGAAUUUUCGGCAAUGGGCGCAAGCCUGACCGAGCAACGCCGCGUGCAGGACGACGGCCUUCGGGUUGUAGCGUGCUUUUUCGGGGGAUGAAAUGGACAGU
rnacentral:rRNA from 1 species